AUACGGAGGGUGCAAGCGUUGUUUGGAAUCAUUGGGCGUAAAGCGCGUGUAGGCGGCUAGGUAAGUCGGGUGUGAAAUCCCGGGGCCCAACCCCGGAACUGCAUUCGAAACUGCUUGGCUAGAGUCUCGGAGAGGAAGGCAGAAUUCCCAGUGUAGGGGUGAAAUCCGUAGAUAUUGGGAGGAAUACCAGUGGCGAAGGCGGCCUUCUGGACGGUGACUGACGCUGAGGAGCGAAAGCGUGGGGAGCAAACAGGAUUAGAUACCCCAGUAGUCC
rnacentral:rRNA from 1 species